GAAUAUUAUUUUAUAAUAUACUAGGAUUAUUAAUAGUUAUUUACUUAAAAUUUAAAGAAUUUGGCGGUAGUUUAGUCCAGUUAGAGGAACCUGUUUUAAGAAUUAAAUCGAUAAACCACGUAGAAUCUUACUUAUUUUAGUUAUAAUUAGUUUGUAUACCAUCAUUAUUAGAUAAUUUUAUAAAGAUAGUAAUUAUUGAAGUGAAUUAUGUUAAAUAAAUUAGAUCAAGGUGCAGCUUAUAAAUAAGUUAAAAUGGGUUACAAUAAAUUUUAUUUAUUACGAAAUAAUUUAGGAAUAUAGAGAUUAGGAAGGAGGAUUUAAUUGUAAUAUAAAUUUAAUAAGUUUAUGUGAUAAAGGUUCUAAAUUAUGUACACACCGCCCGUCACCCAAACAAA
rnacentral:rRNA from 1 species